CUUUGACUUGUAUGACAUGUCACAGCUUCUUAAAUAUCAGCUAACUGCUGGAAAUGAAUGUAGCUCAUAUAGUAAGAACAUGCUUGGUGCAAAAAAAAUAAAUGCCAAGAAUAGAUUGUGGGUACACGCAGUAUGAACCAGUGACACAAAUCCAUCUUUCUUAACUGAAUAUUCAGUACAAUUUAUUUUGCUACCCUGCCCAUCAUGGUGAUAAGGUAAAAGAACAAAGGCAAUUAAACAAAACUAGAUAACUCUUCAAAACAUUUCUUCUGCCUGGUUCUUAACCAUCUUUG